UUCAAGUGAGUGGCGAACGGGUGAGUAACACGUGGACACCUGCCUCAAGGCUGGGGAUAACAUUUGGAAACAGAUGCUAAUGCCGAAUAAAACUUAGUGUCGCAUGACACAAAGUUAAAAGGCGCUUCGGCGUCACCUAGAGAUGGAUCCGCGGUGCAUUAGUUAGUUGGUGGGGUAAAGGCCUACCAAGACAAUGAUGCAUAGCCGAGUUGAGAGACUGAUCGGCCACAUUGGGACUGAGACACGGCCCAAACUCCUACGGGAGGCUGCAGUAGGGAAUCUUCCACAAUGGGCGAAAGCCUGAUGGAGCAACGCCGCGUGUGUGAUGAAGGCUUUCGGGUCGUAAAGCACUGUUGUAUGGGAAGAACAGCUAGAAUAGGAAAUGAUUUUAGUUUGACGGUACCAUACCAGAAAGGGACGGCUAAAUACGUGCCAGCAGCCGCGGUAAUACGUAUGUCCCGAGCGUUAUCCGGAUUUAUUGGGCGUAAAGCGAGCGCAGACGGUUUAUUAAGUCUGAUGUGAAAGCCCGGAGCUCAACUCCGGAAUGGCAUUGGAAACUGGUUAACUUGAGUGCAGUAGAGGUAAGUGGAACUCCAUGUGUAGCGGUGGAAUGCGUAGAUAUAUGGAAGAACACCAGUGGCGAAGGCGGCUUACUGGACUGCAACUGACGUUGAGGCUCGAAAGUGUGGGGUAGCAAAC
rnacentral:rRNA from 1 species